AAACUGAAGAGUUUGAUCCUGGCUCAGAUUGAACGCUGGCGGCAUGCCUUACACAUGCAAGUCGAACGGCAGCACGGAGCUUGCUCUGGUGGCGAGUGGCGAACGGGUGAGUA
rnacentral:rRNA from 6 species